GACGAUCGCUGGCGGCGUGCUUAACACAUGCAAGUCGAGCGGUAAGGCCCUUUCGGGGGUACACGAGCGGCGAACGGGUGAGUAACACGUGGGUGACCUGCCCUCAGCUCUGGGAUAAGCCUGGGAAACCGGGUCUAAUACCGGAUAUGACUCCAUGACGCAUGUUGUGGGGUGGAAAGCCUUGUGCGGCUGAGGAUGGGCCCGCGGCCUAUCAGCUUGUUGGUGGGGUGANGGCCUACCAAGGCGACGACGGGUAGCCGGCCUGAGAGGGCGACCGGCCACACUGGGACUGAGACACGGCCCAGACUCCUACGGGAGGCAGCAGUGGGGAAUCUUGCGCAAUGGGCGAAAGCCUGACGCAGCGACGCCGCGUGAGGGAUGACGGCCUGGU
rnacentral:rRNA from 1 species